AUACUUACCUGGCAGGGGAAAUACUGUGACUACAAAGGUGGUUUUCCCAGGGCAAGGCCUGUCCAUUAUACUCUGGAUGUGCCUAACCCCUGUGAUUUCCCGAAAUGUGGGAAAAUUGACUGCAUAAUUUGUGGUAGUGGGGGACUGCAUUGCACUUUCCAC
ensembl:snRNA U1 U1 spliceosomal RNA